rnacentral:tRNA from 2 species
GUUGGAUAUGGUUCAAAGGUAGAAUAUCUAGUCGUGGAGACUAGAGGACAGGGGUUCGAAUCCUCAAUUCAACA